GAUGAACGCUGGCGGCGUGCCUAAUACAUGCAAGUCGAGCGAACGGACGAGAAGCUCGCUUUUCUGAUGUUAGCGGCGGACGGGUGAGCAACACGUGGAUAACCUACCUAUAAGACUGGGAUAACUUCGGGAAACCGGAGCUAAUACCGGAUAAUAUUUUGAACCGCAUGGUUCAAAAGUGAAAGACGGUCUUGCUGUCACUUAUAGAUGGAUCCGCGCUGCAUUAGCUAGUUGGUAAGGUAACGGCUUACCAAGGCAACGAUGCAUAGCCGACCUGAGAGGGUGAUCGGCCACACUGGAACUGAGACACGGUCCAGACUCCUACGGGAGGCAGCAGUAGGGAAUCUUCCGCAAUGGGCGAAAGCCUGACGGAGCAACGCCGCGUGAGUGAUGAAGGUCUUCGGAUCGUAAAACUCUGUUAUUAGGGAAGAACAUAUGUGUAAGUAACUGUGCACAUCUUGACGGUACCUAAUCAGAAAGCCACGGCUAACUACGUG
rnacentral:rRNA from 1 species